UACGUAGGGUCCGAGCGUUGUCCGGAAUUAUUGGGCGUAAAGGGCUCGUAGGCGGUUUGUCGCGUCGGGUGUGAAAACUCAGGGCUCAACCCUGAGCGUGCUUCCGAUACGGGCAGACUAGAGGUAUGCAGGGGAGAACGGAAUUCCUGGUGUAGCGGUGGAAUGCGGAGAUAUCAGGAGGAACACCGGUGGCGAAGGCGGUUCUCUGGGCAUGACCUGACGCUGAGGAGCGAAAGCAUGGGGAGCGAACAGG
rnacentral:rRNA from 1 species